UUGAACGCUGGCGGCAUGCCUUACACAUGCAAGUCGAACGGCAGCGCGGACUUCGGUCUGGCGGCGAGUGGCGAACGGGUGAGUAAUGUAUCGGAACGUACCCUGUUGUGGGGGAUAACUACGCGAAAGCGUAGCUAAUACCGCAUACGCCCUGAGGGGGAAAGCGGGGGACCCUAAAUAGAGCGCACUGGGGAGUGCGUUGUAUUUAGGGCCUCGCGCAAUAGGAGCGGCCGAUGUCGGAUUAGCUAGUUGGUGAGGUAAAGGCUUACCAAGGCGACGAUCCGUAGCUGGUCUGAGAGGAUGAUCAGCCACACUGGGACUGAGACACGGCCCAGACUCCUACGGGAGGCAGCAGUGGGGAAUUUUGGACAAUGGGGGCAACCCUGAUCCAGCCAUGCCGCGUGAGUGAAGAAGGCCUUCGGGUUGUAAAGCUCUUUCGGACGGAAAGAAAUCGCGCAGGUAAAUAAUCUGCGUGGAUGACGGUACCGUAAGAAGAAGCACCGGCUAACUACGUG
rnacentral:rRNA from 1 species